rnacentral:rRNA from 1 species
CCUACGGGAGGCUGCAGUGAGGAAUAUUGGUCAAUGGACGAGAGUCUGAACCAGCCAAGUAGCGUGAAGGAUGACUGCCCUAUGGGUUGUAAACUUCUUUUAUAUGGGAAUAAAAUGUUCCACGUGUGGGAUUUUGUAUGUACCAUAUGAAUAAGGAUCGGCUAACUCCGUGCCAGCAGCCGCGGUAAUACGGAGGAUCCGAGCGUUAUCCGGAUUUAUUGGGUUUAAAGGGAGCGUAGGUGGAUUGUUAAGUCAGUUGUGAAAGUUUGCGGCUCAACCGUAAAAUUGCAGUUGAAACUGGCAGUCUGGAGUACAGUAGAGGUGGGCGGAAUUCGUGGUGUAGCGGUGAAAUGCUUAGAUAUCACGAAGAACUCCGAUUGCGAAGGCAGCUCACUGGACUGCAACUGACACUGAGGCUCGAAAGUGUGGGUAUCAAACAGGAUUAGAUACCCCUAGC